rnacentral:rRNA from 1 species
CCAAUAGCGUAUAUUAAAGUUGCUGCAGUUAAAAAGCUCGUAGUUGAAUUUCAGGAUCAAUAUGUUGGUCGUGCCUUGGUACGUACUAGCUUAUUGAUUUCUCUCUUCUGACGAACCAUGAUGUCAUUAAUUUGGUGUCAUGGGGAAUUAGGACUGUUACUUUGAAAAAAUUAGAGUGUUUAAAGCAGGCUCACGCUUGA